UGGGGAAUCUUGGACAAUGGGGGCAACCCUGAUCCAGCCAUGCCGCGUGAGUGAAGAAGGCCUUAGGGUUGUAAAGCUCUUUCACCCGUGACGAUGAUGACGGUAGCGGGAGAAGAAGCCCCGGCUGACUCCGUGCCAGCAGCCGCGGUAAUACGGAGGGGGCGAGCGUUGUUCGGAAUUACUGGGCGUAAAGGGCGCGUAGGCGGGCUUGCAAGUCAGGGGUGAAAGUCCUGGGCUCAACCUGGGGACUGCCUUUGAAACUGUGAGUCUAGAGUCCGGGAGAGGAUGGCGGAAUUCCCAGUGUAGAGGUGAAAUUCGUAGAUAUUGGGAAGAACACCGGUGGCGAAGGCGGCCAUCUGGACCGGCACUGACGCUGAGGCGCGAAAGCGUGGGGAGCAAACAGGAUUAGAUACCCGCGUAGUCC
rnacentral:rRNA from 1 species